UUUAUCCUGCAAUGGCAUAUCCUAUAUUUUUAGAACCAACACUAUAAAUAUGGGAGCUGGACUUCGGGCGUGGAAAGCAUGCCUCCUCGUCGAGGAAACUUGAGCCGUCCGAGAGGUGCCCACCGUGAUUACCACGGUUCUAAAAACGUACUGCCAUUGCAGGAUAUUU
rnacentral:other from 1 species